rnacentral:lncRNA from 1 species
UCGCCUGGGGCGGCCGGCGUUUGCUCGGCCGAGGCAGCUAUCCGCCGUGCCCGUGGUCGCGGAGGCUAGGAUAGGGGAGAGCGGGUGUAAAGGGGGUCUACGGGUGCGCGAGGAACUGGGGAAGCUAGCGCACCCUGCUGCGGAAGCCGGGAGCUCACCGGUGUUGAGCUGGAGCUCGCCGGAGUGGAGGCGGGAGGAGGGAGAAGCUUCUGACGAGCGGGACCCGCCCGUCAGUGGCUGCAGGAGAGGGGCAGCGCCCGCGCGCGACGCGGGAAGGCUUCCGGGCCGACUUGGGCCGUGCCCAAGCGGGCCGCCUACGCAACAGUGCUGUUUUUUCUUUUUCUUUUUGUUUAAAAAUGAUUGAUGUUUGAAUUUAUGCUAUAAAUUGUGUAGUGAUCCAAAAAUGAUGAAAAUUUUUGUAUAGAUUCCAUAAAAUGAGUAGAACACAGGAAAAAUAUUAGGUUCU